AGCACGGCCGUUCCCAGGAUUUGCAGUGGCUAUCAUUGUGCUGUGCAGCUUGGCCAUCCUGGUCAUUCCCAUCAUCAUUGUUGUGCUCCUGAAGACGAACCUGCGGCAGCGACUGAGUCGAGCCUUCAGCUUCAAGUCGCCCGAGUCCUUCAGCAUAUUCUCAGACCACGACUAAGCCCCUGCAGUGCAGCCAUGGGAUGUAAAGAACGACGACCAUCUCGGUGACGACAGAGCCCACCAUUACCGGAUGCCAUGUUGGCACUUGUUCUCUGACUGGACUUUUUUUGCUCAACUGCUCUCCUUCCUGGCCGUCUAUCCAGACCCUGGUUGGCACGUCUGGCGGGCACUGGGUGGUGAAUCGGCUGCUGCCAGGCAGUGAAGCGACUCUCAUGCUGAUAGCCCCUCUUGCCAGGGGCGAGAUUGGACUGAAUGAACACUCUGGGGGGCCGUGAUGAUCUGCCUGGUUUUCUGAUGUAAACGUCGCUCGCUUGUGUUGUGCUCAAUAAAAGGCUUCAA